UACGUAGGGUGCAAGCGUUGUCCGGAAUUAUUGGGCGUAAAGAGCUCGUAGGCGGUUUGUCGCGUCGGCUGUGAAAACCUGGGGCUCAACCCCGGGCCUGCAGCCGAUACGGGCAAGCUAGAAUUCGGUAGGGGAGACUGGAAUUCCUGGUGUAGCGGUGAAAUGACGCAGAUAUCAGGAGGAACACCGAUGGCGAAGGCAGGUCUCUGGGCCACUACUGACGCUGAGAAGCGAAAGCAUGGGGGAGCGAACAGG
rnacentral:rRNA from 1 species